GAUGAACGCUGGCGGCGUGCCUAAUACAUGCAAGUCGAGCGAACGGACGAGAAGCUUGCUUCUCUGAUGUUAGCGGCGAACGGGUGAGUAACACGUGGAUAACCUACCUAUAAGACUGGGAUAACUUCGGGAAACCGGAACUAAUACCGGAUGAUAUUUUGAACCGCAUGGUUCAAAAGUGAAAGACGGUCUUGCUGUCACUUAUAGAUGGAUCCGCGCUGCAUUAGCUAGUUGGUAAGGUAACGGCUUACCAAGGCAACGAUGCAUAGCCGACCUGAGAGGGUGAUCGGCCACACUGGAACUGAGACACGGUCCAGACUCCUACGGGAGGCAGCAGUAGGGAAUCUUCCGCAAUGGGCGAAAGCCUGACGGAGCAACGCCGCGUGAGUGAUGAAGGUCUUCGGAUCGUAAAACUCUGUUAUUAGGGAAGAACAUAUGUGUAAGUAACUGUGCACAUCUUGACGGUACCUAAUCAGAAAGCCACGGCUAACUACGUG
rnacentral:rRNA from 1 species